ACGAAUGUUUUAAUCGAAACAUUUAUUGGACGAAAUUUGAAAUCGGAAUUAGAGUAUUGAAGUCGGUACAGUUCCGAUCAAAUCGGAACGUCUGGUCACCUUAAACAUCUGGGGUAAUAUAGGGAAGACCCAACGACACAAACAAAGCCAUAAAAAUUCUUUGCCCAUUGUCCCUGAAACGGGACAAGGUUUUGAAGAGUUCAUUCGUCGAAUUUAGAUUUUAUAAAGACGUUUAUAAAGCGAUGAUGGGUAGCAAAAAAAUUAGAGAGUGGUUAAUUUUGCUUUUAUUAAAUUUAUUUCAUCUAAUGAAAAAAUAACGCUCAACUUCUGCAUUUACUAUCCACCAGAUCUUUGGGGGGUGCCGUCGGACCUUUGUUGGUUUGGUUUGUCUAAGAGUCGGACGAUCCCUUUUUUCCGUAUUUAUGGUUAUUGCACUUCACACUCACAGUGAAGCUGUCGAAUUCCAUUUGGCCAUUUGGUUCACAACCACCGAACCUUUCUCGUGAAUCCGUAACUCACUUCAUUUUUAAUGCAGUUUUGUGAAAAUUGUGCCAUUCAGUGUGGGUUUUAUUUACACUAGGUAAGUUAAUAUAAUUCUAAUGAAGUAAUCAUUUUAAUUUUUACAUGCUUCUGUUGUUUUUGAUAACUGUACGUAAAUAACAACAACAGUUUUUUCAGAUAAGCUGGAAAUACCACCAUUAAUCACUGAAGAUACUCCCGCUGAUUUUGAAGAACUUACGGUGAUUGUUUUUGAAAGUGAGGCGCUUUGCCAUAACAUGUUGCAAAGACUUGAAACAAAUACAAAAAAUAUGUGCGAAACAAAAGAAAUUCUAAAGGAAACGAGUGAACAAAUCUCCAAUAUGAAAACGUCAUCAAAUGUGACAAAUCAGAAAGAAAACAGUAAUAGAAGAUAUGCCGCCAAGACCACAGGUAAACAAAUUUUGAGGAAUUAGAAGAUUAUCUCUGCCUACUACAACAAGCAGGUUUCUUUGAACUGCUAUUGUCCCAGAUAGGUGGUAAUGGGAAAAAUAACAAUGUGGGGCGUGUAUUAAAAAAAAAAUUUCAGCGAAUUUGCUGUAGCUUGUUUGUUCGGUAGGAAAAUUCCAAAAUGGCUGGGACAAAAACAAUGAAUAUCAUGAAAGAAAUUACAAUGAAGACCCAUUCCGCAAUAGAAAAACAAGUACAACAACGCUGCUCAGAGUGGCUACGACAUUCUAGUCAACGCCUGAAGAAAGAAAAAACAA